rnacentral:tRNA from 1 species
GCGCUUGUAGCUCAGGUGGAUAGAGCGUUGGAUUCCGGAUCCAAAGGUCGGGGGUUCGAAUCCUCCCAAGCGCA